CGAUGUUGCGUCAAUUACCUAACUAUAUGAAAGAGAGGUGUAUCCAAAGAGCAGUGGCGGAUUUACCAAGAGGCAGUAACCUGGGGCGCCAAAAUUCAGGGGGGCAUUUCAAGUUGAUCAACAAAAAUCCCAAUUUAAGAAAUUCAAAGUGAAAAUGACGAAUGUAAUUCAGUCAGAAACAACAAGAAGGAAUACAAAUAAAUUUAACAUCAUAAACCAUC